CCUACGGGAGGCAGCAGUGAGGAAUAUUGGUCAAUGGGCAUAAGCCUGAACCAGCCAAGUCGCGUGAGGGAUGAAGGUUCUAUGGAUCGUAAACCUCUUUUAUAAGGGAAUAAAGUGUGGGACGUGUCCUGUUUUGUAUGUACCUUAUGAAUAAGGAUCGGCUAACUCCGUGCCAGCAGCCGCGGUAAUACGGAGGAUCCGAGCGUUAUCCGGAUUUAUUGGGUUUAAAGGGUGCGUAGGCGGCCUGUUAAGUCAGCGGUGAAAGUCUGUGGCUCAACCAUAGAAUUGCCGUUGAAACUGGGAGGCUUGAGUAUGUUUGAGGCAGGCGGAAUGCGUGGUGUAGCGGUGAAAUGCUUAGAUAUCACGCAGAACCCCGAUUGCGAAGGCAGCCUGCCAAGCCAUGACUGACGCUGAUGCACGAAAGCGUGGGGAUCAAACAGGAUUAGAUACCCCAGUAGUC
rnacentral:rRNA from 1 species